ensembl:snRNA U6 U6 spliceosomal RNA
GUGCUCGCUUAGGCAGCACAUAUACUAAAAUUGGAACGAUACAGAGAAGAUUAGCAUGGCCCCUGCACAAGGAUGACACGCAAAUUCAUGAAGCAUUCCAUAUUUUU